CUACUUAUUCUUCCAGCACGAACUUUUUUUUUUGGUAAAUCCAGAAUGUUUGUGGUCCUCUUGAAGGUGAUAUCUAAAGAUGAAAAAGAAGUCAAGAGCCUGGAGGUGUCUUAGGGUCUGUCUGUCGGCAUGUGGAAAUCUAUCGGCAUCCUCCUUCCAUUUGGUCAAACUCCAAGGAGCAAGUGUUCAGGUGGGACAUGUGGAAGAUGACUGGAUCACGGGGGCACUCUACUCACUGGUGGACUAAUCCAUUGAUGAGUUCAUAACUGACUGUGCUGUUAAGAAGUGGAGCAUGGCAGAGAGAGCAGAAGACAGCACAUGGAAGGAGCAUGGUGCAGAGAUCUCUCUGGAAAAGAUGGCUCUGAGGAAUGCCACUAAGUCCUGCUGCUCAGCCAACAUCAGUGGUGAGUCAAGAUCUGAAGACUGGCCAUCAAGAGGGCUUGUCCAUGAGCAGAAGAUAUCACAGGAAGUGCAGGGCUGGUGAUGCUAUGCAGAAGGUGUCUCCUGUCCCAUGAAUAAUAACAAGAUCCAUGAUCCAUGAAAGGAUUAAGAAAGUGGGCAAAGGAGAGUGCUGCAACGGGGGAGCUGAGGAAGAGAACCUUAUAACUCACUAUGGAUCCAUGAGCACCGAUUUCCUUACUUCUACCAAGAUAUGAGCUGCUCUCUUCUCUGUCUACAGAGAGUGACUUUGUGUGAAAUCACCUUUAGAGUACGGUCCCUCCUGAUUCAUCUGACCCUGGUCAGUUCUGUUCCUAGCUCUCCAAAUUCUUCUCCCUAAGACGUGAUGAAGAAACAUUUGCUGAGCAAAUUAAAGAAUCAAGAGUGCAUGUUAAAACUCACACACCCAGAACCUACAGUCCAGGGUCAGUCUGUGGGCAGCCUAUGAGGCACACAUCACAGGACAGAAGGACCUUCAUCUUUACCUCCAAGAUCAGCUCUGGCACCUUCCUCAGUAUUUGCCCCAAGAGUCUCAUCAGGCUGAGCCGGAUGCACAAGAACAACCUUGCUCUGGGUCCGUGCUCAGAACUCCACCCUCAGGCAAAAACCCCAGGACAUGGCCCCCGGGACAGGGCAGAUGGCAGGGUCCCUUCCUCCUGAGAGCACUCAAGCCUGCCUCCCAAGAACUGGUUUUUAUUUUAUUGAUCUCAGUAACUAAGCUGUGAGAACUUCAAAGCCACUCAGUGGGUUGUAAGGAAAUGUAGUAGCCGGAGCCUUUUCACACAGGGGUGUUUGCAAAUGUUUUAUUUCCCAGAAGGCAAUCCACCUAGAAGGUACUAAAAAAUAAGUUUUUGUUUCCUUUGACAUGUCAUUUCUCUAAGCAGUCUUCUUAACUCACUGCUCCCCUGACCCCCUCGGUAGCAAAUACAAUUCAUUUCUCAUGCAGCCUGACAAAAAAGAUGCUUGGUAUAUGGCACUGCAUAUCUUGACUUCAUUAUUCCCUCAUAGCAAAGACUUGAAACUGCAAUGUGUGAGAAGGAAAAGGUGCCAACAUGACAUUUACUACCGCUAAUAUGAAUCUGAUUAAUUCUACAACAAGAAACAUCCUCUUAACUCUUUGCAUUCUACAAGGAGUGAGCCGAUGGGAAGGAAAGAAGCAAAAGCGGAUACUUUUACUGGAAUCGCCCAGACUAUGGAAUUCUUAGGGGAGGAAAUGAUAUGGGAAACAUUUCCUUUCACAGUGUGUCUACAAAUGCUUGGGUAGGAAGGGGAUCCUUUUCUGCCACCUGAGGCAGAGGGAGCUCAGCUUCCGGGUAGGACACAGGCCAAGGUGAGAGUCGAGGCCACUAAGACCCCUCUUACUGCUUGCUGAGGAGCAGGAAUGUGGUUUUAUUUUUAUUUUAUCGACUCCCUGCAAAUGUUCUUCAUCGUCCUGUGGCCUCAGGGUGUGUGUUCAAAAAUGAUUCUACAUUUCAGCAAUUCUGUACUUGAAAUUGCUAUUAAAAAGAAAAUGCCAGAAGAUACCCUACAGUCUUCACUAAGGGCCUGCUACACUAUGGAAAUGUACCCCAAAUCCUGACCUUACCAUUAAUUGAAAACAAACAAACAAACAAACAAAGACUA